AGCUUUGCGCAGUGGCAGUAUCGUAGCCAAUGAGGUUUAUCUGAGGCGCGAUUAUUGCUAAUUGAAAAAUGAUACCCUAGGUGAAGAAUAAAUGAAUUAGUACAUGUAAAACACUGUCAGCAUUAGUAUCAUCAUU